rnacentral:misc_RNA from 1 species
GAUGAAGAACGCAGCGAAAUGCGAUAAGUAAUGUGAAUUGCAGAAUUCAGUGAAUCAUCGAGUCUUUGAACGCACAUUGCGCCCGCCAGUAUUCUGGCGGGCAUGCCUGUCUGAGCGUCAUUUCAACCCUCAUGCCCCUAGGGCGUGGUGUUGGGGAUCGGCCAAAGCCCGCGAGGGACGGCCGGCCCCUAAAUCUAGUGGCGGACCCGUCGUGGCCUCCUCUGCGAAGUAGUGAUAUUCCGCAUCGGAGAGCGAUGAGCCCCUGCCGUUAAACCCCCAACUUUCCAAGGUUGACCUCAGAUCAGGUAGGAAUACCCGCUGAACUUAAGCAUAUCAAUAAGCGGAGGA